GUCAGAUGUGAAAUCCCCGGGCUCAACCUGGGAACUGCAUCUGAUACUGGCAAGCUUGAGUCUCGUAGAGGGGGGUAGAAUUCCAGGUGUAGCGGUGAAAUGCGUAGAGAUCUGGAGGAAUACCGGUGGCGAAGGCGGCCCCCUGGACGAAGACUGACGCUCAGGUGCGAAAGCGUGGGGAGCAAACAGGAUUAGAUACC
rnacentral:rRNA from 1 species